rnacentral:lncRNA from 1 species
AGUCCUUCGCCGUCCCUCGCCGUCCUUCGCCAUCGCACGCCACCGCACCCCAUCUCUCGAAAUCUGCAGACAUCUUGAUUUUUCCCACGCUGUCUGUCAGGUCUCCGCCGCCACUCGACGCCAGGGCGCCGGGCCUUGUGGGCUGUGCUGCACCUCGGACGGCUUCGCACCAGCCAGCGCCCUCUCUCUCCUGCAGCACUCUGAUCUGCACCCCCUGAGGGGCUUCCACUGUCCGCGGGGUGAGAAUGCCCCUGGGAGUGUCACAUGACUGCCGCCCCAUGUGUGUGAGAGGCGUCCUCUGGGAGAGCAUGGAUCCUGAGGUCCCAGGAUUGUCAGCUGACCUCUGUCCUGUGUGCCCAGUGGCCCCAGGUGACGUGUCUUCAAGAAGAGGCUGAGCUGCGGUGCUUGUAAGGCAGGGUCUCAUUCUGUCACCCAGGCUGGAGUGCAGUGGUGCAAUGAUGGCUCACUGCAGCCUCGACCUGGGCUCAAGUGAUCCUCCACCUCAGCUUCCUGAGUAGCUGGGACCACAGAGUCAUGUGCUGUUCCUGGGGCUUGGAUGAUGUAGGGGAAGCAAGGUGAAAGUGGUAUCCCGUGGUUCCACGUUCUGUCCUGCUGUGGGGCUGUCCCUCACAUGCUUUCAGUGGCUGUUGCAGAGGAAGAGCCUCCGGAAAUCUGCGUGGGUCUCAGCCUUAGAUCCAAGGACAGUCCAAGGAAGUCCUAAGACCAUGGAGUUGGUGAUCUGGGAUCUGGGUUUGCUGAUAUUUCUCACCGUGAAUCUCUUGGUGGUGUUUGUGGGCACGAGAGGGGCAGAGAAUGGAGAGUGAGGCUACCACAUGAAGCGUCACCAGAGCUGCUCCCUGCUGCCUGCUCAGAGCACCCCGGAUCCACUGUUCAAUCUGCACAAGAUUCGGGGUCCAGACAUGGGAGACUUCAGCUGCCUCAGAGGACCGUGGACAGGGAAGGCCAGCCUCGCAUCCCUCUGUCCAUGCCUGGAAUGACUUUAAUAACCAAGAGUUUUAUUUUUGAAUUUGUAGCUGUCGUUCACUUUUUACCCACCCAUUCAAUAAACCUUACAGAAUUGCUCCA